ensembl:lncRNA
CAAUCCCUGGGCUGUGAAGCUUUCAGAAAAACAUCUGUACUGAUUUGUUGGUUUUCCUUUACUUAAGGGCCAGCUGAAGUUCUCCAGGGCUCAAAACAGCAAAAGGACCUGACAGGCACUAUGGAAAUCUCCAGUGUAGUCCAGGAACUCCUUACAACUCACCCCCAAAUUGCUGCCUUUGCUGAUGCCACCUCUGAUUGCUUGUGACUAAACAACCUGGAAGCACCUUCUUCCCCUGCUGUGCCAUGGAGAAAGAUUACUUUAGCUAGCUAAAGUUGGAGGCAACAAGGUAUCUUCAGCCCUGGGCUAAUGACAUCAGGAGAAAGGACUACUCAGCUCCUUUUAGAGCCAUUUACUACAUUUAUCUCUUGUCCAAGUGCUGAGCAGGCCAGACCAUGCUGAGCCUGGAAAGACCUGUCGCUACAAGAAAAUAUGAAUUCUGGAUUCAAAAUAUUAAAACAUCUCUUGGCAACAGGCAGUGACUGGAGUAGAGAUGAAUAAUUACACCAAAGUCUCCCUAGAAGAACUGCUCUUAUUUUUGUAGGAAAGAAACCUCCAUGUGCUGAAACCAUGUCACAUGGGAAAAUGUUGUCUACAUAUGAAAUGCUCCCCAAACAUAUGACGUUACCCCAAGAGCCUUAAAUGGAGAGAUAUUUUUAAAAGGCAUUUGGCUAUUUAAAGACA